CAAUAGCGUAUAUUAAAGUUGUUGCAGUUAAAAAGCUAGUAGUUGGAUUUCUGGUAGGAGUGACCGUUCCGAACUUGAUUGUUCGUGUAUUGUGUUUUCUCCAGCCAUCCUUGUGGAGAACUUUUCUUGCAUUAAUUUGUAGGGAUUGGGACCCGCAUCGUUUACUGUGAAAAAAUUAGAGUGUUUAAAGCAGGCAAUCGCUUGAAUACAUUAGCAUGGAAUAAUAAGAUAGGACUUUGGUACUAUUUUGUUGGUUUGCAUACCAAAUUAAUGAUCAACAGGAACAGUUUGAGGAUAUUCGUAUGAACAUGUCAGAGGUGAAAUUCUUGGAUUUUGAUCAGACGAACUACUGCGAAAGCAUUUAUCAAGGAUGUUUUCAUUAA
rnacentral:rRNA from 1 species